AGAAGAUGUAUUCCCUCAUUGAUCAAUACAAAUUGAAUGGCCAGUUCCGAUGGAUCUCUUCUCAGAUGAAUCGGGUCAGGAACGGUGAAUUGUACCGGUACAUUUGUGAUACAAAGGGAGCUUUUGUGCAACCUGCACUGUAUGAGGCCUUUGGCUUGACUGUUGUUGAGGCCAUGACCUGUGGAUUGCCAACAUUUGCAACUUGCAAGGGUGGCCCCGCUGAGAUUAUCGUUAACGGGAAAUCUGGCUACCACAUUGAUCCUUACCAUGGUGAGCAGGCUGCUGAGAUCCUUGUUGACUUCUUUGAGAAGUGCAAGGCAGAUCCCUCAUACUGGGACAAGAUAUCACUGG
rnacentral:lncRNA from 1 species